UGUAUAAAUCCUUCGGUCGCAUUUGAUUAAUAUAUCAUCAUUCUAAUAAACCCGUAUUGCCCUUUCACUGUUCCAUUUCCGGAACUCUCCCGCCGCACUCUCACCCCGUCCCAGCACGAACGCACCGUAAAUCCUGUUUUUUUAAAAUUAAAAUCAAUGCCCUUUAUACACCACCACCCCAUUUUAUUAGAAACGGGAUUUUCCCCCUCUUCGUCUUUCAGAGAAAAUGUUAAAAUAAUUAUUUUGGUCUUUCUGUCCGCUAAGUUUACUUGAGAGAGUGUUUUUGCCGUCUCAGCAUCCCUCCUGUUCAAACUAUAAAAGGAUAUAUAAAACUGUGGAUAAAAGUAUCUCUAAAAAUAUAUAGACUCGAGCUGUUCAGAGAAAGGAAUGUGGAGUGAAUCUUCCUGGAAUGUCUCGUCGCGAGGAAUUUUUUGAACAGUUUAUUUUUUGUAAAUAGACACAAAUUCCUAAACUAUUAUCUCUGCAGAGAGCUCCUCCUCCCCUGUUAACUCAGAUAAAAUAAAGCUUUUUAAGGCCUGAAGAAGACGUUUGUGGCCUCAAACCCCCUUUGCCUCAGCCCAG